rnacentral:rRNA from 1 species
GGUCUUGACAUGGUUGUUUAAUACCCUAGAGAGUAGGGAGAUAAUAAGCACACACAGGUGGUGCAUGUUGUCGUCAGCUCGUGUCGUGAGAUGUUGGGUUAAGUCCCGCAACGAGCGCAACCCUUGUUCUUUAGUUACCAUCAUUAAGUUGGGACUCUAGAGAGACUGCCGGUGAUAACCGGAGGAAGGUGGGGAUGACGUCAAAUCAUCAUGCCCCUUAUGACCUGGGCUACACACGUACUACAAUGGCGCAUACAACGAGCUGCAAGAUGGUGACAUCAAGCGAAUCUCUUAAAAUGCGUCUCAGUUCGGAUUGGAGUCUGCAACUCGACUCCAUGAAGUCGGAAUCGCUAGUAAUCGCGGAUCAGCAUGCCGCGGUGAAUACGUUCUCGGGCCUU